AAUUGUGAUUUGGUAUAACCAUGAUUUUUGAUGUUUCAGGUAAAGACAGGUGAUGAAAAUUAUCUUCGUCCUAGGUGCGAAGAGGAAUUUAGAAUCACAAUUAUGAUUAUGAGUUAUUCACAUGAUUGUGGACAGGAAUUGUUGAUUGAUGUUACAGGAAUAAAACAUUGUUGGUGGACUUUUAAUAUGGAGAAGAUAAUAGACCUUAUGGUCUAUUUGACUCUUCUAAUGGAUUGCUC
rnacentral:lncRNA from 1 species